AUCCAACUGAUGAGUACAAAAUGGGACGAAACGCGCGUCCUUGAU
rnacentral:hammerhead_ribozyme from 1 species